GUCCACGCUGUAAACGAUGAGAGCUAGUUGUCGGCACGCAUGCGUGUCGGUGACGCAGCUAACGCAUUAAGCUCUCCGCCUGGGGAGUACGGCCGCAAGGUUAAAACUCAAAGAAAUUGACGGGGGCCCGCACAAGCGGUGGAGCAUGUGGUUUAAUUCGAAGCAACGCGCAGAACCUUACCCACGUUUGACAUGUCCAGUUUGGUCGCGAGAGAUCGCUUCCUUCAGUUCGGCUGACUGGAACACAGGUGCCGCAUGGCUGUCGU
rnacentral:rRNA from 1 species